CAUGCAGUCGAACGGCAGCACGAAAGAGCUUGCUCUUUUGGUGGCGAGUGGCGGACGGGUGAGUAAUGUAUCGGAACGUGCCCAGUAGCGGGGGAUAACUACUCGAAAGAGUAGCUAAUACCGCAUACGCCCUACGGGGGAAAGGGGGGGAUUCUUCGGAACCUCUCACUAUUGGAGCGGCCGAUAUCGGAUUAGCUAGUUGGUGGGGUAAAGGCUCACCAAGGCAACGAUCCGUAGCUGGUUUGAGAGGACGACCAGCCACACUGGGACUGAGACACGGCCCAGACUCCUACGGGAGGCAGCAGUGGGGAAUUUUGGACAAUGGGGGAAACCCUGAUCCAGCCAUCCCGCGUGAGUGAAGAAGGCCUUCGGGUUGUAAAGCUCUUUCAUUCGGGAAGAAAACGCGCGCUCUAACAUAGCGUGUGGAUGACGGUACCGACAGAAGAAGCACCGGCUAACUACGUGCCAGCAGCCGCGGUAAUACGUAGGGUGCGAGCGUUAAUCGGAAUUACUGGGCGUAAAGCGUGCGCAGGCGGUUUGCCAAGACAGGCGUGAAAUCCCCGGGCUCAACCUGGGAACUGCGCUAGUGACUGGCAGGCUAGAGUACGGCAGAGGGGGGUGGAAUUCCUGGUGUAGCAGUGAAAUGCGUAGAGAUCAGGAGGAACACCGAUGGCGAAGGCAGCCCCCUGGGCCUGUACUGACGCUCAUGCACGAAAGCGUGGGGAGCAAA
rnacentral:rRNA from 1 species